GUUGUGACUCAGUGGUAGAGUGCUUGCCUAGCAUGCAUGAGGUACAGCGUUUAAUCCCCGGCACCACA
rnacentral:tRNA from 1 species